GACGAUGCGUGCGCAUUUCUUUUCUAAUGUCUCGUCGAAGGAGAAUUAUAGGUCGACGAAAAAGACGAACGAUAGUACGGAAUUAUUUCGGAUGCAUUAUAAAAACAUUGUGCAGUGAUUUUAAGAAAAGAAUUUCGUUCAACUGUCAAAUGACGAUGCAUUCAACAUUGUAUUAUUGAAUGAGUGAAAUGGCUGAAAAUGAUAACAAAUCAGAAGCUCAUGUCAUAUUAAUAGAAGCAUUUUAUGGUGGAUCCCACAAGCAGUUGGUGGAUUUAUUGGUGAAGAAUAUUUCAGGCUGUGUCUUGUAUACAAUGCCAGCAAAGAAAUGGCAUUGGAGAAUGCGAACAAGUGCGCUUUAUUUCAUGCAAAACAUUCCUAUUGAUCAGUCAUAUAGAGCAUUGUUUUGUAGCUCAGUUGUCAACUUGGCUGAACUAAUGGCUUUGAGAAAAGAUUUAUCAUCUUUGAAAAAAGUUUUAUAUUUUCAUGAGAACCAGUUGGUUUAUCCAGUUCGUAAACAACAAGAUCGAGAUUUUCAAUUUGGAUAUAAUCAAAUAUUAUCAAGUCUUGUUGCUGAUGUUGUUCUUUUUAAUUCUUGUUACAACAUGGAUUCCUUCCUAAAUUCUAUUGAUACAUUCCUUAAUCUAAUGCCUGACUUUCGUCCAAAGAAUUUAUCUCAUCAGAUCAGAUCAAAAAGUAAAGUUCUUUACUUUCCAAUAUGUUUGGUUGAUGAAUUGGAAUUUUUCAAAGAUCAGAACCUUGUAGAAGAUGUAGAUGAUGUUGUUAAUGAUGUUGAUCACCGUCAUCGUCUUCAUAUUGUAUGGCCUCAUCGUUGGGAACACGACAAAGAUCCAACAUUUUUUUUUCAAACAAUUUAUCAACUGAAAGAUCUUGGUUUUAAUUUUAAUAUCUCUGUCAUUGGAGCUACCUUUACUGAUGUGCCAGAAAUAUUUCAAAAAGCAAAAGAGAAACUUGCUGACAAUAUUAUUCAUUGGGGUUAUCAAGAAUCGCGCGAGGAUUAUAUAAAUGUUUUAAAAAGUGCUCAUGUUGCCGUCUCAACAGCAAAACAUGAAUUUUUUGGCGUUGCAAUGCUGGAGGCUGUCUGUUGUGGUUGUUUUGCGUUGUGUCCUAAUAGUUUAGUCUAUCCAGAAAUAUUUCCUGAGGACUGUUUGUACAAUACUCAAGGACAACUUCUCAAACGAUUAAAAAGAUUUGCAAUCCAACCAUUGUUAGCAAGAGAAAAUACAUUAAAGAUUGACGUGUCAAGAUUUUCUUGGAAAAUUCUUCGUGGUGUUUUCGAAAACAUACUGUUGGAAAGAAUACCACAAUGAAGCAAAGUUGGUCCAGCUACCUUUGUAAUAUAGAUCAACAAACUCUCAUCGCGGGCACUUUUGCUACUCUCUGGUAUGGAAGCCUAAGUCAUAUUAGAACAAGAUACAAUGUUUGUGGAUACUACAACUUUGUACGAGAAACAACAAGAACGUGCUAUAUUGCAAAAAAAGCUGUGAAAAAUUUGUUUUUCUUAUAGGUAUGAAUGGGUUAUGAAAAUGCAUAAUUUCUUAAUUUACUUUGUUUAAAUCGAUCACUAUUUCUCUUCGAUAUUUUGAAGUUCAUGAAGUACUUGGUCAUGUGGAUUUAGUUACAUUGCUUAAUUUAAAAUGAUAUCUGUGAUUACCUGUCUCGUUGCUAACAGCUUGUUUCAUCAUUUGAACACUAAACCUGUUGCAAACAUAAAACAAUUUAAAAAUGAAUGAUUUUGUGUUCAAACUAAUAUUUGCCCUGUGAUUUACAUGGUGUCUUGUUUACAACACACUGAUACAGAAAACCCCAUGCUAUGAUGAACCAUGGCUCUUUAUUCCGCUCAAUGCGAGAUCCUAGUCCCCAUCUUUGAAGAAAUAAGUAGACCUUAUGAAUUUGAAAAAAGGGGGUGUUCUCUGAAAAACGAGUUUCCAUAAUUUCACAAAUUUAAAUCAUGGUUUCCAAAUAGCCUUCAAAUGGUCAAUUGUUAAAAAAUAACUGCUGAUAUUGCCUCAUCGAUUAAAUAGAAACAUGGUUUGGAAGAUCGGGAAUGUUGAUCAUGUACACAGUUCUAUCUUGACAAUCCUAUUUUACAUGAAUUGAAUGUUGUUCUGGUAGCGAACAUCUUUUCAAUGAUUUAUGACUGACGUGAUUUCAAUAAAUUUAUGUGUUUAGAAUCUCCUUUAACUGCUCAAAACAUUUUGUUCAAGCUUUUAGCAUAUUUAACCUUCUAGGCAGAUCUAAGACGACGUGUGAAUGAUAAAAGAUAAAUUUAUGUAUUCAUGCUGUAUCUUACGCAACAACU